GACGAACGCUGACGGCGUGCUUAACACAUGCAAGUCGAACGGUGAAGCGCCUUCCUUUUUGGUGGGUGUGGAUGAGUGGCGAACGGGUGAGUAACACGUGAGUAACCUGCCCCCUUCUUCUGGAUAACCGCAUGAAAGUGUGGCUAAUACGGGAUAUUCUGGGUCUGUCGCAUGAUGGGUCUGGGAAAGAUAUUGUUUCGGUGGGGGAUGGGCUCGCGGCCUAUCAGCUUGUUGGUGGGGUAAUGGCCUACCAAGGCGGUGACGGGUAGCCGGCCUGAGAGGGUGGACGGUCACACUGGGACUGAGACACGGCCCAGACUCCUACGGGAGGCAGCAGUGGGGAAUAUUGCACAAUGGGCGCAAGCCUGAUGCAGCGACGCCGCGUGAGGGAUGGAGGCCUUCGGGUUGUGAACCUCUUUCGCCAGUGAAGCAGGCCUGCCUCGUUUGUGGGUGGGUUGACGGUAGCUGGAUAAGAAGCGCCGGCUAACUACGUG
rnacentral:rRNA from 1 species